rnacentral:lncRNA from 1 species
AUGUCUGCUUUUCGCUCGACCCUCUCGUGCACGAGCCUAGGAGCUAAUUCAAGGGUCAAUCCCAUGAAAAUGCUUGGUGGUAUCCUAGGCUAUCUCGAUUGAGGAGACGAUAUACAAAAAUGAUAUUGAGGGCUUUUUUUCAAACGCGAGGCUUUAUCAUGAUUAGGCUAUAUUUUAUGUUUUGAACUGAUUUUAUAUGUUAUCGAUAAUCAAUGGAUUUCUAUCACCCAAAAAAAAUCAGCCUACCUCAUAACUCUGCGAUCUUUAUGUAAUAAUUGGGCGUAUUUGUAUAUGUGAAGGAAAUCGCUUGCCCUUGGAUCUAGCAGAGGACGAAGAAGGAAUCAAUGCGAUGUAAACAUCUUAGCUGAAGCUUCAAAGGAUGAGCAACACCAAGACGGCAAGGACAUAGUUUGCCUUCAACACACAAGCAUUUGAAAACCAAAAGUCCAAAAUACAUUAUUGAGUUAACUUCCGUUUUGCUCCUUGUGGUUUUGUCACUUUAACGGUUUUGCCCCAAUCAUUUAAAAACGGUCAUUUUCCUCCUUGAUGUUUCGAUCUUGUCGCCAGUUUGCUCC